rnacentral:rRNA from 1 species
UACGGGGGGGGCAAGCGUUGUUCGGAAUUACUGGGCGUAAAGGGCUCGUAGGUGGCCAACUAAGUCACACGUGAAAUCCCUCGGCUUAACCGGGGAACUGCGUUUGAUACUGGAUGGCUUGAGUUUGGGAGAGGGAUGCGGAAUUCCAGGUGUAGCGGUGAAAUGCGUAGAUAUCUGGAGGAACACCGGUGGCGAAGGCGGUUCUCUGGGCCUGUACUGACGCUGAGGCGCGAAAGCGUGGGUAGCAAACAGG